rnacentral:rRNA from 1 species
UACGUAGGGGGCAAGCGUUGUCCGGAUUUAUUGGGCGUAAGAGCGUGUAGGCGGCCUGACAGGUCUGCUGUGAAAACUCGAGGCUCAACCUCGAGAUGUCGGCGGAAACCGUCUGGCUAGAGUCCGGAAGAGGAGAGUGGAAUUCCUGGUGUAGCGGUGAAAUGCGCAGAUAUCAGGAAGAACACCUAUGGCGAAGGCAGCUCUCUGGGACGGUACUGACGCUGAGACGCGAAAGCGUGGGGAGCGAACAGG